rnacentral:rRNA from 1 species
CUCUAAUGAGACUGCCGGUGACAAACCGGAGGAAGGUGGGGAUGACGUCAAGUCCUCAUGGCCCUUAUAGGUGGGGCUGCACACGUCAUACAAUGGCUGGUACAGAGGGUUGCCAACCCGCGAGGGGGAGCCAAUCCCAUAAAGCCAGUCGUAGUCCGGAUCGCAGUCUGCAACUCGACUGCGUGAAGUCGGAAUCGCUAGUAAUCGCGGAUCAGAAUGUCGCGGUGAAUACGUUCCCGGGUCUUGUACACACCGCCCGUCACACCAUGGGAGCGGGUUCUGCCAGAAGUAGUUAGCCUAACCGCAAGGAGGGCGAUUACCACGGCAGGGUUCGUGACUGGGGUGAAGUCGUAACAAGGUAACC